CUUCGGUCUCACUAUUCAUUCAUUCUUUCCAUCGCCGGGCACAGAUGUACUGAAAACCUGCUAAGUACCACGGACUGUUCUAAGGGCUGGAGGAUACAUCAGAGAGCAAGAUAGCCUUCCCUCUGCCUUUGUAGAGCGCUUACAUUCUGGUGAAGGCAAGACAGACAAGUAUUGUAAGCAAAUCAUGUAGUAUGUUGAAAGGUCAAGGCCACAAAAAGUAAGGGGGCAGGUGGCAGUGGGAGGCAGUUUGCAGAAUAUAAAAGGCUGUCUGGGCAAGCCUCUUGAGGAGGUCAGAGAAGAGAGGAGGGGGGCAGAGCUUUGCAGGCUAUUGCUAUUGUGAAGACUUUGGGUUUUACUUCGAGUCUCAGCAAUUACAGAUUUGAGCAAAGAAUUGCUGUGAUGUGAGUAGGGACAUACUAGUGAUGAUGAUGGUAAAUGUCACAUGCAAGGCCCUUCACUGCUCUGAGCUUUGUAGAAUGGGGUGAAUAAUGCCAGCCUGACAUGCUUGUUGGAGGGUCAGAUGGGAUGACGUGAGACACCUAUAAGGCAGUCAGCUCCCUGUGCUCCUCUGAUCCUUCCCGUCCCAGGUGCUGUAGAAAGUCAGAACCCCAACUUCUACUCCAGGCUGAGCUGCUUACAAGUUGCACACACAGAAGUCAGGGGAAUUACGAAGAGCUGUGCAUAGGGAAGGAUGGCCUUGGGCCUUGGCUCUGCAGUAAUCUUGGCUAUAUCCUGUGGUGAAAGGCUUUGACAUCCAGACCUUCUCAGUCAACA
rnacentral:lncRNA from 1 species